CCUACGGGAGGCAGCAGUGGGGAAUAUUGCACAAUGGGGGAAACCCUGAUGCAGCAACGCCGCGUGAGUGAAGACGUAUUUCGGUAUGUAAAGCUCUAUCAGCCGGGAAGCGAAUGCCGGUACCUGACUCAGGAGCACCGGCUAACUACGUGCCAGCAGCCGCGGUAAUACGGAGGGGGCAAGCGUUAUCCGGAUUUACUGGGGGUAAAGGGAGCGUAGACGGCUGUAGAAGUCUGAAGUGAAAGCCCGGGGCUCAACCGCGGAACCGCUGUGGAAACUGGCAAGCUGGAGUACGGGAGAGGCAGGCGGAAUGCGCGGUGUAGCGGUGAAAUGCGUAGAUAUUAGGAAGAACACCAGUGGCGAAGGCGGCCUGCUGGCCAGAAACUGACGUUGAGGCACGAAAGCGUGGGGAGCAAACAGGAUUAGAUACCCGAGUAGUC
rnacentral:rRNA from 1 species